CCUACGGGAGGCAGCAGUGGGGAAUAUUGCACAAUGGGCGAAAGCCUGAUGCAGCGACGCCGCGUGAGGGAUGACGGCCUUCGGGUUGUAAACCUCUUUCAGCAGGGAAGAAGCGAAAGUGACGGUACCUGCAGAAGAAGCGCCGGCUAACUACGUGCCAGCAGCCGCGGUAAUACGUAGGGCGCAAGCGUUGUCCGGAAUUAUUGGGCGUAAAGAGCUCGUAGGCGGCUUGUCACGUCGGGUGUGAAAGCCCGGGGCUUAACCCCGGGUCUGCAUUCGAUACGGGCUAGCUAGAGUGUGGUAGGGGAGAUCGGAAUUCCUGGUGUAGCGGUGAAAUGCGCAGAUAUCAGGAGGAACACCGGUGGCGAAGGCGGAUCUCUGGGCCAUUACUGACGCUGAGGAGCGAAAGCGUGGGGAGCGAACAGGAUUAGAUACCCUGGUAGUCCACGCCGUAAACGGUGGGAACUAGGUGUUGGCGACAUUCCACGUCGUCGGUGCCGCAGCUAACGCAUUAAGUUCCCCGCCUGGGGAGUACGGCCGCAAGGCUAAAACUCAAAGAUAGUACGG
rnacentral:rRNA from 1 species